GAUGAACGCUGACGGCGUGCCUAAUACAUGCAAGUCGAGCGAACAGACGAGGAGCUUGCUCCUCUGACGUUAGCGGCGGACGGGUGAGUAACACGUGGAUAACCUACCUAUAAGACUGGGAUAACUUCGGGAAACCGGAGCUAAUACCGGAUAAUAUAUUGAACCGCAUGGUUCAAUAGUGAAAGACGGUUUUGCUGUCACUUAUAGAUGGAUCCGCGCCGCAUUAGCUAGUUGGUAAGGUAACGGCUUACCAAGGCAACGAUGCGUAGCCGACCUGAGAGGGUGAUCGGCCACACUGGAACUGAGACACGGUCCAGACUCCUACGGGAGGCAGCAGUAGGGAAUCUUCCGCAAUGGGCGAAAGCCUGACGGAGCAACGCCGCGUGAGUGAUGAAGGUCUUCGGAUCGUAAAACUCUGUUAUUAGGGAAGAACAAAUGUGUAAGUAACUAUGCACGUCUUGACGGCACCUAAUCAGAAAGCCACGGCUAACUACGUG
rnacentral:rRNA from 1 species